UACAGAGGUCCCAAGCGUUGUUCGGAUUCACUGGGCGUAAAGGGUGCGUAGGCGGUCGGGUAAGUCUGAUGUGAAAUCUCGGAGCUCAACUCCGAAACUGCAUUGGAUACUAUUCGGCUUGAGGUCUGGAGGGGGACUGGAAUUCUCGGUGUAGCAGUGAAAUGCGUAGAGAUCGGGAGGAACACCAGUGGCGAAGGCGGCUCGCUGGGCCGGACCUGACGCUGAGACGCGAAGGCGUGGGGAGCGAACGGG
rnacentral:rRNA from 1 species